rnacentral:tRNA from 1 species
CUAAUUUAAGUGAAACCACAUAUAAUUUCCAAUUAUAUAAAUAUUAUUAGA